GACGUGAGGGCGCGAGCGUUGUCCGGAUUUAUUGGGCGUAAAGAGCUCGUAGGCGGCUUGUCGCGUCGUCCGUGAAAACCUGCAGCUCAACUGCAGGCUUGCGGUCGAUACGGGCAGGCUGGAGUUCGGUAGGGGAGACUGGAAUUCCUGGUGUAGCGGUGAAAUGCGCAGAUAUCAGGAGGAACACCGAGUGGCGAAGGCAGGUCUCUGGGCCACUAACUGA
rnacentral:rRNA from 1 species